CCAAGGCAAUGUGGUAUGGCACAGGGGAGUGGCAGAGGAAAAGCAGCUCAUGGCAUGGUGGCCAGGAAGCAGAGAGAUCAAGAGAUGAGCCUGGGAGGGAGAUAGACCCUUCCAGGCCACACCCCCAGUGAUCGUUCUCUUCUGACCAGACCCUACCUCCUAAUAGCAAGUCACCUGCAAACACCCAUAAUCCAAUCACCUCAAGAAGCAGCAAUUUCUUCGGAGUCCUGGAUUCUUUUAUUGGAGAAUAAUAUUUGGAAACUGAGAUCUUGGUGCUCACUGCUAUUGAGAUUAUAGCUACUCACUUCCAUCAAAUAGAGCAACACAUGUGCAGGAAUAAAGAUCAUUCCCUGAAGUAAACCCUUCCUCCCACUCCAGCAGACUUCCCCUCAUAUAUCUUUGGUCAGAAAUGGAUCAUAUAACUACAGAAGAGCUAGGAACGACAACCUAAAAAGGAAAAAGAGAGCUAGCAACCAACAAUGUUGGCAACCACAUUCAUGAAG
rnacentral:lncRNA from 1 species